rnacentral:rRNA from 1 species
CCUACGGGAGGCAGCAGUGGGGGAUAUUGCACAAUGGGGGAAACCCUGAUGCAGCGACGCCGCGUGUGGGAAGACGGUCCUCUGGAUUGUCCACCACUGUCCCCAGGGACGAAGAUGACGGUACCUGGGGAGGAAGCUCCGGCUAACUACGUGCCAGCAGCCGCGGUAAUACGUAGGGAGCAAGCGUUGUCCGGAAUUACUGGGUGUAAAGGGAGCGUAGGCGGGAUGGCAAGUUGGGUGUUAAAUCUACCGGCUCAACUGGUAGUCGCACUCAACACUGCUAUUCUUGCGUGAAGUAGAGGCAGGCGGAAUUCCUAGUGUAGCGGUGAAAUGCGUAGAUAUUAGGAGGAACACCAGUGGCGAAGGCGGCCUGCUGGGCUUUUACUGACGCUGAGGCUCGAAAGUGUGGGGAGCAAACAGGAUUAGAUACCCGGGUAGUC